AGUCAGGUUAGGAGGCCGUCUCACCCCUGCUUACUCUCUUUAUUUACAGAUGAGGGAGGGAAGACAAUCUUGCACCUUCUUCGAGUCCUGGGAGCCUCUCAGUCAGAGGCAGUAAAACCGCAAGGUCGGUCAGAACAACCAUUGCCUCGUGGCCGCUGCCCAGCUCUUCCCGGGACUGCCUGGCACAGCCCGUGGACGUGGGCCAAAUCCUCUUUCUGACAGGCUGUCUGAUCCUGAAGGAAUAAGCCUGUAGGAGGAACCAAAGCCCCGCUCCCAAAGGACCCCUUCAGCUGCUGCGUCGGGAAAGUUCUGGGCCGAUCCGGGUGAGGAAGAUGCAGAAUCUCAUGGACAGGCUGUGAACCCCAGAGACUGAGAAGGGUACCCGUUUUUAUACUGGAGAUCAAAG